rnacentral:rRNA from 1 species
GACGAACGCUGGCGGCGUGCUUAGCACAUGCAAGUCGAACGGAAAGGCCCUGCUUUUGUGGGGUGCUCGAGUGGCGAACGGGUGAGUAACACGUGAGUAACCUGCCCUUGACUUUGGGAUAACUUCAGGAGACUGGGGCUAAUACCGGAUAGGAGCUCCUGCUGCAUGGUGGGGGUUGGAAAGUUUCGGCGGUUGGGGAUGGACUCGCGGCUUAUCAGCUUGUUGGUGGGGUAGUGGCUUACCAAGGCUUUGACGGGUAGCCGGCCUGAGAGGGUGACCGGCCACAUUGGGACUGAGAUACGGCCCAGACUCCUACGGGAGGCAGCAGUGGGAAUAUUGCACAAUGGGCGGAAGCCUGAUGCAGCAACGCCGCGUGCGGGAUGACGGCCUUCGGGUUGUAAACCGCUUUCGCCUGUGACGAAGCGUGAGUGACGGUAAUGGGUAAAGAAGCACCGGCUAACUACGUG